CCCUUAGAUGUCCUGGGCCGCACGCGCGCUACACUGAUGCACUCAACGAGUUUUACCUUGGCCGAGAGGCCUGGGCAAUCUUUUAAACCUGCAUCGUGAUAGGGAUAGAUUAUUGCAAUUAUUAAUCUUGAACGAGGAAUUCCUAGUAAACGCAAAUCAUCAAUUUGCAUUGAUUACGUCCCUGCCCUUUGUACACACCGCCCGUCGCACCUACCGAUUGAAUGGUCCGGUGAAGCCUCGGGAUUGUGGCCAGUUCACUUUAUUGGGAGUUGGCUGUGAGAACUUGUCUAAACCUUAUCAUUUAGAGGAAGGUGAAGUCGUAACA
rnacentral:rRNA from 1 species